GCACUCCAACCUGGGUGGCUGAGCAAGACUCGUCUGAAAGAAAAAAAAAUUGGCAAGACAACUAUAUGGUUAAGAAUUUAAAGAACUUCCAGUAUGACCACACCCAAUAACUGUAUUAGAUUGUUAAUGGAUUAUUGUGUUAUAGGUGACAUAGUUAACUGUAAAGUAACGUGACUCAGUAUAGUUACUGGUACCACAGUGAGGUGAAUAAAACAGGAUUUUUCAGAAGUUAGCCUGAAUUUCACUGUACUUUUAAAUUUAACCUCCAUUAACUAAGCAUCUUUUCUUUGUGGUAGGGUCUACCUUCUGCUUCCCUGGAAAGGAUGAACUUACAUCAUUUGACAAGACCUGUUUUCAAGUUAUUUGUUGUUUGUUUGCUUGUUUUUGUAGCCUAAAAUAAAAAUUUCAAAUACA
rnacentral:antisense_RNA from 1 species